rnacentral:rRNA from 1 species
AUUGAACGCUGGCGGCAGGCUUAACACAUGCAAGUCGAGCGGAGAGAGGUAGCUUGCUACUGAUCUUAGCGGCGGACGGGUGAGUAAUGCUUAGGAAUCUGCCUAUUAGCGGGGGACAACAUUCCGAAAGGAAUGCUAAUACCGCAUACGCCCUACGGGGGAAAGCAGGGGAUCUUCGGACCUUGCGCUAAUAGAUGAGCCUAAGUCGGAUUAGCUAGUUGGUGGGGUAAAGGCCUACCAAGGCGACGAUCUGUAGCGGGUCUGAGAGGAUGAUCCGCCACACUGGGACUGAGACACGGCCCAGACUCCUACGGGAGGCAGCAGUGGGGAAUAUUGGACAAUGGGCGGAAGCCUGAUCCAGCCAUGCCGCGUGUGUGAAGAAGGCCUUUUGGUUGUAAAGCACUUUAAGCGAGGAGGAGGCUACCUGGAUUAAUACUCUAGGAUAGUGGACGUUACUCGCAGAAUAAGCACCGGCUAACUCUGUGCCAGCAGCCGCGGUAACAC